CAACCUUCAGACAGAAAAUCUUUAUUUUAAUUUACUCAGUUGCUGAUAUAACAUUUUCUUGACAAUGCGGUAUAAACGCCCAUUGACAUGUUAUGUCUGAGAUGUUCAGGAUUAAUUGUAUUUAAAGCUAGUUAUAUUAUCUUUGUAGGAAAAACUAAUUUGCAUGAGCACUAGAAUGUAAUUGAUUCUGGAAAACAUCACAGCAUGCAACAGAUGAUUGUGAUACAAAACGAUAGUUUAAAAACGUAACAUUUCU